GACUGACAUGGGGUGUGUGAGUGGCAGCAAUCUGGUGCCAUCACAUGCCAUGAAUAUUAAGUAACAUAGGCUAACUACAUGAAAAGUACAAACACAGAUCCUGAACUACAACGAGGUGACGGUUUCAUGACUACAUUUCCCUUUUCCAGCAAAAUACAAAUCUGAAGAUGUUCAAACAUGGAAGUCGGCUGGUCCUGUUUCACCCUGCCUCAGCCUCAGGUUAAGAGGAGUUUGGUAAUCAGGAGCAGAAUGUUCAGGAAUUGCAGUGUUUUAUGGAUUUCUUGGCAAAGCUGAGGGCAUGGCAUGUUUUGCCUUGAUGUUAAAACCUGGAAGAGCAAAGUAUCGGUCCAGGAAAACAGCUGGCAUUUAAACCUUACAGAAGAAACAAAGCAUUACUCAAACACGUCCAUCAGCCAGGUUGCUGAUCCCAUCCAGGUCAUCAAGGUUACUGCCAAGAUGUACAGGAGAGGAGGUCAGGGUUGGCUAUGAUCCCCUACAACACGCACAUCGUCUUCAGGGUCUGCGGUGAAGAAGCAGAUGCCAAGAUCCCAGCCAAACACAUUGACACAAUCUGCCUGAGGGGUGAUUGGGUGGGUGCAGAAAAAAAAGCAAAACUAACCACAGCAGCUGCUUACUGGUCCAACAAAUAACGUGCAGCCAUUUUUUAUUGAUCAGUUCAUUUGUUAAUGGGAACACCUAUCUUUUUAGCCAUAGGCUUACUGAGCGAUGAGGGGAUUCUUUGUAAAUAGCCUAGUUAAUUUGAGUUAUUUUGUCUUUUUUUUUUUCUUUUCUCACACCAUUACAGUUAAGCAUUAAGGUGUGCACUUUGCAUUGUGUUACAAGUGCACAGUGUAUAGAUAUUCUGACAAUCAGGAGUCUGCUUUUACAGGAAAGCUGGAUUCAUUGUAAUUUACAGGACUAUACAGGCAGGAUGGAUUAAUUGUGUUCAUUUCAUAUUUUAUAGUAUUAUGAUAUAGUAUUACAAAUACUAUAUUUAAAAACUAAGACAAACAGUGCCUGGGGUUACAUUUUCAUUAUAGCUCCGCUAUCCCUUUUACCAGUUUAAGACAAGUACCAAACAACAAAACAAAUAUAAUCUGUGAUGAAGAUAAUUUGGUUUAAUGUAAUUCUUACAUUUCUCUGAGUUUCACACGAGUACACCAGCUGGACCGAUUACCUUCCUGCUGAGGUAUGCCAUUACCCAACACCCGGAACAAAAAUUAAGUCCCUGCCAUUCAAUGCAUGUUUGUUUUUUUAACCAAGGUUUUUCAGAAAUUGCAUCAUAAUUUAAAUCAUUUUUAUUACUUUUUCCACUUUUGAAUUCUGCUAGAAUCUUUUUUAUUGAAUCUAAAUAAAUUUAAAAAAAUGCAGAAUAUUAAAGCCCAAUCUCAAAAUGAGACAGUGCAUGGGUACUGGCCUUUAAACCCAGCAGCUUCUAUUAUGUGAAUUAAGAUAUUCCUAGUAAUUAACAUGAUUAAUGUUAUCUUAUUUUGAAUUACAAUUCCAGUGCUUUCUGUCACUUUAAAGUAAUCAUUACCAAUUAAAAUAGCAAGCUCAUUUUCUCCAGCGCAAUUCAGGUCUGUGUUACCCAGUCUUUAACACUCUAAUUGGACUGAUUAAAAAAUGUGCAGCAUUUAAUUAGAAAGUGGUAUAAAACUUAUGACAAAUAUUGUUUCAGUAGCUUGAUGAUUUAAACACUCCAGUACUUCCACAGCCACAGAUCUGUAAAUCUGCUGGUUGUGAAUUUGAUAUAGUGUGCAGGACUUGUCAGGCCAUUUAGUAGCUUCUCAGUUCAUGAUCUUAUUUAAAAGUUCAUAGGUACUACAAAGAAUAGCAUUUAGUUUUUUAGUCUUUCUUUGCUCUAAAGCAGAGC